GUAUUUGUUUCAAUAGCACAUACACUAAAAUGGAAAUGAUGCAAAGAUUAGCAUGACACCUGAUCAAGGAUGACGUGCAAAUUUGUGAAGUAAUUGGUAUUUUU
rfam:Pteropus alecto contig88618, whole genome shotgun sequence.